rnacentral:rRNA from 1 species
AUGUCCACACGCGCCCGGCUCUGCAUCCGCGAGGUGGCGCGGGAGCUUGAGGAAGACAUGGAGCUCGGAGCCGAAGGGGAUCUCAACGCCGCCGCGCCCUCCACUGCUAGCUUCCCACUGCCGCGCCCUCCACAGCUAGCUUCCCGCCGCCGUGCUCUCUCUCUCGCCGUGGUCACCGCCGUGCUCUCUGUCGCCAUGGUCACCGCCGCUGUCGCCCGCUUAUAUAGCACACCCUCCAACGGGUCUCUGCUCAACGGCUCUUUGCUGGGUCCCACAAGCCACGCGUGCAACGGUCUGAAUAAAAUUGGCCGUUUCUGCCGCCUGGUCCCACCUUCGCUUGCGCUUCCUUCCUCUUCCCCUUCCCUUGCAUUUGCCUUUGCUAUUUGCUACCCGACGUUUGAGUUGCAUCGGGUUUUUUCCAUGGGGAGGCCGAGUAAAGGAUCCGAAGGUCCAGCCGACCUCAUCAGCGUCCUCCCGGAGGAUCUGCUUCUGGAGAUCCUCGAGCGUCUUGGCUCCGCCCGCGCCGCCGCGGGCACCAGCCUCCUCUCCCGCCGGUGGCGCGGUCUCUGGACCCGGCUCCCCAGCCUCACCCUCAGCUUCCACAACGUCCCGUUCGGCUCGAUCCAGACCGCGCUCCGCCGCGCCGCCGCUCGUCGACGCCCCGGUGUGAACAUCUACCACCUCAACAUCCGCGUCGCCGGCCAGGCCGGCACGAUCGGCGCCGGGAGGUUCUCCUCGCUGCUCUGGGACGCCGCGAGUCUCUCGCCGGUGGAGGUGCGCCUCACCCUCCCGCGGAACCUGCAAGUCUCCUGCAUGGAGCCAUAUUUGGGCUAUGUCCCCUUCCGCUCGCUGGAGAGACUCUCCCUCUCGGGGUGCCACAUCGAUCUGGCCACCUUCAUCCCGUACUGCCCUCGCCUGCGCGUGCUCCAGGUGAACACCACCGGUCUGAUAGACAUGAGCAACAUUACGGUCCACUCCGCGUCGCUGGAGGAGCUCGUCGUGGAGCACGGCAACCGAUGGACCCGCCGUACCCAUGUCAGCGUCGACUCCCCUGUGCUUAAGCAAUUGGCAGCGUCCUUCCAUGCCUGCGGCAACAUCGGGGUGUCCAUCUUGGCACCAAUGCUGGACAAGGUCUGGUGGCGGUGCUCGUAUGCCAAGCCGAUUUACGGCCUUGGUCUUUGGGGCCUCUCAGAGGUGGGCUUGAACACAGAAGAGACACACUCCAGGAGAGACGCCUGUGUGCAGCUCCCUAGCGUCCAUGUCCUGUCCCUACACAUGUCUCCUGUCCAGGAUUCAGUUAGCUUUCCAAAUGCAGAUCUCAGCUUUUUUGCGGCAGAGAUCGAUAAACAUAUGGUUACCAACUUCUCUGGUCUGGACCUACAUCUCAGCACCAAGGGCCAUGUGUUUGGAGCUUUUGUGCUGCAUCUCCUUGGGAUGCAUCGGAUUCGUACAGCUUUACGGAACCUUAAGAUUGUCCUGCUAAGAUCAGAGGUGAAAGAUGCAUGCCCAGUAAAUUGUUUCUGUGAUGAGCCAAAGAACUGGAGAACAGAAACUAUCACCUUGGCUGACCUUGAAAACAUGGAAAUUGAAGGCGUCGUCGGGGAAGAUCACGAGUUUGAUUUCUUGAAAGUGAUAUUUAGAUGUGCUCCAAUGCUUAAAACACUGACUGUGAGGCUGUCAGAUGGUGUCACUCCAAGUGUCGAUUGGUGCACAAAAAUAAACAUCUUCAUGGCAUAUCCUUCCGUUGAAUGCAAUGGUGAUCUGAUAAGCAGGGCCAAAGCUGUGCGUUGA